rnacentral:rRNA from 1 species
GCCAGACUCCUACGGGAGGCAGCAGUGGGGAAUAUUGGGCAAUGGACGCAAGUCUGACCCAGCAACGCCGCGUGAAGGAAGAAGGCUUUCGGGUUGUAAACUUCUUUUAAGGGGGAAGAGCAGAAGACGGUACCCCUUGAAUAAGCCACGGCUAACUCCGUGCCAGCAGCCGCGGUAAUACGGAGGAUGCGAGCGUUAUCCGGAUUUAUUGGGUUUAAAGGGUGCGUAGGCGGACUGGAAAGUCAGCGGUAAAAUCGAGAGGCUCAACCUCUUUCCGCCGUUGAAACUGUCGGUCUUGAGUGGGCGAGAAGUAUGCGGAAUGCGUGGUGUAGCGGUGAAAUGCAUAGAUAUCACGCAGAACUCCGAUUGCGAAGGCAGCAUACCGGCGCCCGACUGACGCUGAGGCACGAAAGCGUGGGUAUCGAACAGGAUUAGAUACCCGGGUA